AUGACCAAAAUAUGCACAACGCACCUGCUAAUAAAAAUUAUUAGUCAUUCAUUCAUUGAUCUUCCCACACCAUCCAACAUUUCUACAUGAUGAAACUUUGGCUCACUUAUUUGUGCCUGCUUAAUUCUCCAAAUCACUACCAGAUUAUUUCUGGCCAUACACUACACAUCAGAUCCCUUAACUGCCUUCUCUUCAAUCACCAAUAUCAGCCGAGAUGUAAACUACGGCUGAAUAAUUCGUUAUCUUCGUGCUAACGGCGCUUCAGUAUUUUUCACCUGCCUCUUCCUACACAUUGGCCAAAGCUUAUACUAUGGUUCAUUUAUAUUUCUAGAAACCUGAAAUAUUGGUAUUAUCCUGCUACUCACGACCAUAGCAAUAGCAUUUAUAGGUUACGUACUCCCAUGAGGCCAAAUCUUCUGAGUUUUUACACACCUAUUCUACAAACCUGCUAUCAGCCAUUCCGUAUAUUGGAACUGACCUUGUGCAAUGAAUCUGAGGUGGAUUUUCAGUAGACAAAGCCACCCUUACACGAUUUUUUGCCUUCCAUUUUAUCUUACCUUUCAUCAUUGCAGCUUUAGAGACUUUUCACCUUUUGUUCUUACAUGAAACAGGAUCUAAUAACCCUUCAGGGAUCUCAUCAGACCCUGACAAAAUCACUUUCCACGCUUACUACACAAUCAAAGAUAUUCUAGGCCUAAUUCUCCUCCUCCUCUUCCUAAUAAUUCUAGUACUAUUUUCACCUGAUCUCCUGAGCUACCCAGAUAAUUACACUUUAGCCAACCCCCUCAAUACCUCGCCCCACAUUAAACCAGAGUAAUACUUUUUAUUUGCAUAUGCAAUCUUAUGAUCCAUCCCUAAUAAACUAGGAGGUGUACUGGCCCUUAUAUCUUCCAUUCUUAUUCUAGCAGUUAUUUCUAUACCUCACAUGUCUAAACAGCAAAGCAUAGUAUUCCGUCCACUAGUCUCACACUCAUAUGAAUCGGAGGGCAGCCAAUCAGCUACCCUUUUAUUAUCAUCAGACAAACAGCAUCCAUUAUGCACUUCUCAACUAUCUUCACCUUACACCAAUUACCGCCCUAAUUGAAAACAAAUUACUCAAAUG
rnacentral:lncRNA from 1 species